rnacentral:rRNA from 1 species
AGCAGUCGCCACGGUAAUACGGAGGGUGCAAGCGUUAAUCGGAAUUACUGGGCGUAAAGCGCACGCAGGCGGUCUGACAAGUCAGAUGUGAAAUCCCCGGGCUUAACCUGGGAACUGCAUUUGAAACUGUCAGGCUGGAGUCUUGUAGAGGGGGGUAGAAUUCCAGGUGUAGCGGUGAAAUGCGUAGAGAUCUGGAGGAAUACCGGUGGCGAAGGCGGCCCCCUGGACAAAGACUGACGCUCAGGUGCGAAAGCGUGGGGAGCAAACAGGAUUAGAUACCCGGGUAGUCCCUGUCUCUUAUAC